CAGGCCUGAGUCACCAUGACUGGCCCACAGGAUCAUUUUAGAAUGCAAGUCAAAUCAAAUCAUUCUUUAUCGCCACAUUAUAUAUCUUCAAUAGCUUCCCAUUGCUCUUAAGGGAAGGACCAACAUUUAAUAGGUCUAGAAAGCCCCGCAGGAUCUAGCUCCUGCUCUCUCUUCUCCAGCUCCAUUAGUCUCAUGUUCUCAGUCAUUUUUUCUGCUCUUACCUUGUGAUAAAUUGAAUUACUGACACCAAAACUUCAUCCCAGGCUGGUGUGGUGGCUCAUGCCUAUAAUUCCAGCACUUUGUUUGGGAGGCUGAGGCGGGAAGAUCGAGACCAGGAAUUCGAGACCAGUCUGGGUAACAUAGCGAGACCUCAUCUCUCCAAAAAAAAAAAUGAAAAAAAAAAAUCAAAACAACACUUCACAUCCUUGUAUUCAUGCCGUGUGCCUGAGAUUAGGCAAUUUCCCUCUGAUCUUUGACUUUAAGCUUGGUCAUGUGAUCUGCUUUGGCCAAUCAAGGGUGAGCAGAAAUGACUGGGCCAGUUCUGACCCCAGGCUUUUGGAGGCAUUGCUUGUUUGUACUUGUCCUCUCAUGCUUCUGUUACUGCUGUGAGGAGAGCUGGUGUUCCUUUGGCCUGGGGCCCACCCAGAAUGGACACACUUGGGGGCAGACUGGAGCCCACCUUGCAUCUGGAGCUAAGCUGUCAGACCUGCAGCUUGAAGCAGGGCAGCCUGGCUGAGGCCCACCCAGAUCAGCCAACUUGCAAACACAGAAGAAACCAGUGCUUCUUGUGACAGGGUCUCUCUUUGUUGCCUAGGCUGGAGUGCAGUGGAACGAACUUGGCUUAUUGAAGCAUUGACCACCUGGACCCAAGUGAUUCUCCUACCUUAGCCUCUUGAAUAGCUGUGACAACAGGUGUGCACUACCACACCCAGAUAAAUUUUGUAAUUUUUAUAGAGAGGGCAUUUGACCAUGUUGCCCAGGCUGGUCUCAAACUCCUGAGCUCAAGUGAUACUCCUGCCUCGGCCUCCCAAAGUGCUGGGAUUACAGAUGAAGAAAAUGAGGCACUGAGAGAUUACAUAACUUCCCUUGAGUCAUAUUUGCUUGUAAGUGGUAAGGCUGGAUGUUGAACCCAGGACAAAGGGUCUCACUCUGUCGCCCAGUCUGGAGUGCAAUGGUGUGAUCACGGUCACUGCAACCUCUGCCUCCCGGGUUCAAGCGAUUCUCCUGCCUCAGCCUCCCAAGUAGCUGGGAUUACAGCGGCUUGCAGUAAACUUCUUGGAGGAGAAUUGGCAUUGCAAGGGUGUUACUGGAGACCUCGGCAAGAAAGUGAAUGCAAAGACAGAUGACCCAGGAACCCGUGAUGGAUAAGGCUCUUGACAGCCAGGACGUGGAAUUACAGGGGGUCUCUUUGAGAGACAAAAUAAAAAAAAUAGCCCAGUAAUCUUCCUUCCACCCUUUUCUCCCAGAUCUAAUUACAGAUGUCUUGACAUUCCUUCUGCAUAGAAUUUCCUUAAAAGAUUUGCCAAGAAGAAACAUUUGGAAACUGUGUUUUAGGUAUAAUCCGUCUGGGAGUCACUCUUGCUCGCUUUGUCGUUAGAUGACAAAACGCUUAAUUACAGCGAGCACAAUGUAUACCACAUUUGGAAAACUGGAUUCUUGACCUAAAUAAUGUACCCCAUACUGACAAUGGCCUUUUGGCAAAACUUGUGUCUCUGAUCUCACAUUAAUUACUACACAAAUAUACUUAUUGUGGGCACCGAGUUUAUGGGAUGGAGUCCUCUUGACACAUGUUCACCAUAAAAACACAUUUUUUUCCCUUCCCCUGACCCUAAGGAAAAGAAAAAAAAAAAGAUUAACAUUUUUCAAGAUGCUGUUUUAGUGACAUGAAAACUGUCUGUUGAGUGUUCACUCGGCUUUUGUUCUUUUUCUUUUCUCCUUUUAUUAAAAAGCCUUUCAAACCAAGCAUUCCUGGUUUGUGAUUCUUUACUUUUGCUUUUAUGCUGAGGGAGAGACAGAUUAGAUUAGAUUAAAGACCAAGGGACACCUCGUGAAAUACAUUCCAUCUAGAGGCAAUUUGGUUGAGAGGGCCAAUUGUGUGUGUGUGUGCCUGUGUGCGUGCAGGCGUGCGUGUUUCUCCUUGUGGCAUACUGGUGGUCUUUUUACAGAUACAGAGUUCUGGUUUUUGGAAAUGCGUUUAUUCCUUUAGCCUUUUUCCCUUCAGAAGCCUGCAGCCUUUGAUUGUGGCCUGACUUUUAGGGGUCUGCGGCAUUUUGGGGGGUAGUAAAUCUUAUUAACUCUUCCCUUUAGUGUCUCGCCAUUCUCAAAAACUUUUACAAAAAGCAGCAACACCGCCCUCACCAAAGACAGAUGAAAGGAGCGGUUUCAAAG
rnacentral:lncRNA from 1 species